AACGAACGCUGGCGGCAGGCCUAACACAUGCAAGUCGAACGCCCCGCAAGGGGAGUGGCAGACGGGUGAGUAACGCGUGGGAAUCUACCCAGUUCUACGGAACAACUGAGGGAAACUUCAGCUAAUACCGUAUACGCCCUACGGGGGAAAGAUUUAUCGGAAUUGGAUGAGCCCGCGUUGGAUUAGCUAGUUGGUGGGGUAAUGGCCUACCAAGGCGACGAUCCAUAGCUGGUCUGAGAGGAUGAUCAGCCACACUGGGACUGAGACACGGCCCAGACUCCUACGGGAGGCAGCAGUGGGGAAUAUUGGACAAUGGGCGAAAGCCUGAUCCAGCCAUGCCGCGUGAGUGAUGAAGGCCUUAGGGUUGUAAAGCUCUUUCAGUGGGGACGAUAAUGACGGUACCCACAGAAGAAGCCCCGGCUAACUUCGUGCCAGCAGCCGCCGCGGUAA
rnacentral:rRNA from 1 species